rnacentral:rRNA from 1 species
AGAACGAACGCUGGCGGCAGGCCUAAUACAUGCAAGUCGAACGCACUCUUCGGAGUGAGUGGCAGACGGGUGAGUAACGCGUGGGAACCUUCCCAAUGGUACGGAAUAACUCCGGGAAACCGGUGCUAAUACCGUAUAAGCCCCUCGGGGGAAAGAUUUAUCGCCAUUGGAUGGGCCCGCGUCGGAUUAGCUAGUUGGUAAGGUAUGGCUUACCAAGGCUACGAUCCGUAGCUGGUCUGAGAGGAUGAUCAGCCACACUGGGACUGAGACACGGCCCAGACUCCGUACGGGAGGCAGCAGUAGGGAAUCGUUGGACAAGUGGGACGAAAGCCUGACUCCAGCCAUGACCGCGUGAGUGAAGAGGUCCGUUAAGGGUUGUAAAGCGUCGUUUUGGCGGGAGAUAAGUGACGGUACCG